rnacentral:SRP_RNA from 1 species
UGCCAGGGCCCACAGAAUGUGGACAAACAAACCCCGCCAGGGCAGGAAUGCAGCAACGGUAGUUUGCUCUGCAUCUGCUGUGGUUGCCCUGGCGUUU